rnacentral:rRNA from 1 species
UACGGAGGGGGCUAGCGUUGUUCGGAAUUACUGGGCGUAAAGCGUGCGCAGGCGGUUUUGUAAGUCUGUUGUGAAAGCCCCGGGCUCAACCUGGGAAUUGCGAUGGAGACUGCAAGGCUUGAAUCUGGCAGAGGGGGGUAGAAUUCCACGUGUAGCAGUGAAAUGCGUAGAGAUGUGGAGGAACACCGAUGGCGAAGGCAGCCCCCUGGGUCAAGAUUGACGCUCAUGCACGAAAGCGUGGGGAGCAAACAGG